UCUGCCACCAAGUGCUCCUGUCUGGGUGCCUAGGGCAGGGCUGCGGGACAACUCCUGGGGACUUUACUUCCCUCAUCUCUGGCAGACCCCAAGUAUGGACUAGUGGGGACUCCCCAUCCAUGAUCUCAAUCACUCCCCAAGUAAGCACUCCUGGGGACUCUCCUUCCCUGAUCACAAUCACUCCCCAAGUAAGGACUUCUGUGGACUCCCAUCCUUGAUCUCAAUCACUACCCAAGUAAGGACCUCUGGGGACUCCCAUCUCUGAUCUCAAUCACUCUCCAAGUAAGGACUUCUGGGGACUCCCCAUCCUUGAUCUCAAUCACUCCCCAAGUAAGAACUCCUGGAGACUUUUCUUCACUGAUCUCAAUCACUCCCCAAGUAAGGUCUCCUGGGGACUCCCCAUCCCUGACCUUAACUAGACCCCAAGUAAGGGCUCCUGGGGAAGCUCCUUCCCUGAUCUCAAUUAUACCCCAAGAAAGGUCUCCUGUAAACUAUCCUUCCCUGAUCACAAUCAUACCGCAAGAAAGGACUCCGGCAGGCUAUCCUUCUCUGAUCUAACAGACCCCUAGAACAUGACUUGCACAAGCCCGGUUGAAAAUGGGGAAGUUCUGUUUGAAGAAGACAAUGCAAACCGCACCCUGACCAGAAUUACUUCUUCAUGACCCAUGACGUCACCAUCUGAGGAACAUCCAUCAGUCCGUCCCAGUCCUGAGUUCGUGGCUUGUUUUAAGUUGCCUGUGAGUGUUCAGCAGGACACAGGCAGCUAAAGCAAGUCUGGAAAGCAGGAGACCACACAGCCAUGGACAUCGAAACUGCUAACACCCCUGACCACGACCAGUGGACGACUAGUCCACCACAACACCACCUGGUCAUCUUCUUAGCACAUAAGACAAUGCUACAGCUCUAUGCACUAAAAGAACACUCAACCAGAGACAAGGAACACAUUAAAAACAGUUACUAACAGCUUAUAUGUCAUGUUUUCUACAAAUUCUACAAUUCUUGCAAACUAAACGCUAUAGCUUACUAAUCAUGAUUGAGCUGUAUAAGAACCUUCUAGAGACGGUCGAUAGCAGAUGUAGCUCCACCACCCUCAGUGCGAGAAUAUGGGAGAGUCUG